rnacentral:ncRNA from 1 species
UUAUUUAAAAAUUAAAAAGGAAUUUGGUCAAAAUCCAAAACUGACGCGCAGCGGUGGUAGGUACGGUUUGUACAUAUGACACUGAUCUUUUAUUGGGAAGUCGUACAAAUUGGUUAGAUCCUUAAGUCCGAAGACUUGCCUUGAAUGCA